UACGUAGGGGGCAAGCGUUGUCCGGAUUUAUUGGGCGUAAAGAGCGCGCAGGCGGCUUGGUAAGUCGGAUGUGAAAUCCCGAGGCUCAACCUCGGGUCUGCAUCCGAUACUGCCCGGCUAGAGGUAGGUAGGGGAGAUCGGAAUUCCUGGUGUAGCGGUGAAAUGCGCAGAUAUCAGGAGGAACACCGGUGGCGAAGGCGGAUCUCUGGGCCUUACCUGACGCUCAGGCGCGAAAGCUAGGGGAGCGAACUGG
rnacentral:rRNA from 1 species